UACGUAGGGAGCAAGCGUUGUCCGGAUUUAUUGGGCGUAAAGAGCUCGUAGGCGGUUCGGUAAGUCGGGUGUGAAAACUCUGGGCUCAACCCGGAGAGGCCACUCGAUACUGCCGUGACUUGAGUCUGGUAGGGGAGCACGGAAUUCCUGGUGUAGCGGUGAAAUGCACAGAUAUCAGGAGGAACACCGGUGGCGAAGGCGGUGCUCUGGGCCAGUACUGACGCUGAGGAGCGAAAGUGUGGGGAGCGAACAGG
rnacentral:rRNA from 1 species